CCUUGCGGCACCUUUCCAGGUGUCCGUCGCAAAGCGCGACGGAUGAAACGGGAAAUCGGUGCGCCUGGCCCUGGCCAGAGCAAGUCCGAUGCUGCCCCCGCAACGGUAAGCAGGUUAACGGCAAUCAAACGCGCCACUGUGCCCCUUGGCAUGGGAAGGUGAUUGCCCGGGAAGCGCGCUUCCACCUGCAAGCCCGGAGACCGGCCUGGAAGGACACCCGGAG
rnacentral:ncRNA from 1 species